AGAGAUGCAUUGGGUUUAAAGAGUGCGCAGGCGGUUUUGUAAGACAGAGGUGAAAUCCCCGGGCUCAACCUGGGAACUGCCUUUGUGACUGCAAGGCUGGAGUGCGGCAGAGGGGGAUGGAAUUCCGCGUGUAGCAGUGAAAUGCGUAGAUAUGCGGAGGAACACCGAUGGCGAAGGCAAUCCCCUGGGCCUGCACUGACGCUCAUGCACGAAAGCGUGGGGAGCAAACA
rnacentral:rRNA from 1 species